CCUUCUGAAAGGAAGAUUAAUCCAGGAUGGCAUCAUGAGUUCACAUGUCCGCAUGAUUAAAGGUAUUUUCCGGUAGACGAUGGGGAUGCGUUCCAUUAGAUAGUAGGCGGGGUAACGGCCCACCUAGUCAACGAUGGAUAGGGGUUCUGAGAGGAAGGUCCCCCACAUUGGAACUGAGACACGGUCCAAACUCCUACGGGAGGCAGCAGUGAGGAAUAUUGGUCAAUGGGCGAUGGCCUGAACCAGCCAAGUAGCGUGAAGGAUGACUGCCCUAUGGGUUGUAAACUUCUUUUAUAAAGGAAUAAAGUCGGGUAUGCAUACCCGUUUGCAUGUACUUUAUGAAUAAGGAUCGGCUAACUCCGUGCCAGCAGCCGCGGUAAUACGGAGGAUCCGAGCGUUAUCCGGAUUUAUUGGGUUUAAAGGGAGCGUAGAUGGAUGUUUAAGUCAGUUGUGAAAGUUUGCGGCUCAACCGUAAAAUUGCAGUUGAUACUGGAUGUCUUGAGUGCAGUUGAGGCAGGCGGAAUUCGUGGUGUAGCGGUGAAAUGCUUA
rnacentral:rRNA from 1 species